rnacentral:rRNA from 1 species
UUGGAGGGCAAGUCUGGUGCCAGCAGCCGCGGUAAUUCCAGCUCCAAUAGCGUAUAUUAAAGUUGUUGCAGUUAAAAAGCUCGUAGUUGAAUUUCGGGAUUGACACAUCGGUCGUGCCUUAAGGGGUAUGAACUGGUGUAGUCAAUUUCUCACCUUCUGGAGAACCGCGAUGCCCUUAAUUGGGUGUCGCGGGGAACCAGGACCUUUACUUUGAAAAAAUUAGAGUGUUUAAAGCAGGCAUUUUGCUUGAAUACAUUAGCAUGGAAUAAUAAAAUAGGACGGCAUGAUUCUAUUUUGUUGGUUUCUAGGAUCCCCGUAAUGAUUAAUAGGGAUAGUUGGGGGCAUUAGUAUUCAAUUGUCAGAGGUGAAAUUCUUGGAUUUAUUGAAGACUAACUACUGCGAAAGCAUUUGCCAAGGAUGUUUUCAUUAAUCAAGAACGAAAGUUAGGGGAUCGAAGACGAUCAGAUCCCGUGUAGUCUUACCCAUAAACUAUGCCGACUAGGAAUCAGACGAUGUUAUUUUUUAAUGACUCAUUCGGCGCCUUACGGGAAAC